rnacentral:ncRNA from 1 species
GAGAGCCGGGUGCGGGGAAAUCUCGCCUUCCCGGUUCGGGAAGGGGCCGUCGGAAAAGGACCUCCUCCAGAGGCACCUCGUCGGCGGCCUACUUCAC